rnacentral:rRNA from 1 species
UACAGAGGUGGCAAGCGUUGUUCGGAAUUACUGGGCGUAAAGGGCGCGUAGGCGGCCAUCUAAGUCAGACGUGAAAUCCCCCGGCUUAACCUGGGAACUGCGUCUGAUACUGGACGGCUCGAGUUUGGGAGAGGGAUGCAGAAUUCCAGGUGUAGCGGUGAAAUGCGUAGAUAUCUGGAGGAACACCGGUGGCGAAGGCGGUUCUCUGGGCAUUACCUGACGCUGAGGAGCGAAAGUGUGGGGAGCGAACAGG